GGUGUACCACACCUAGUAGUAGCAUAGAUAUUAGAGUAAAUAUCUAUGGUAGUAGUAGUGGUAGUACUAGCAAGAUAUUCUUUCACAGUAGUAUGAUGAGACCUCUUCCCUCAGGGGAGCCUCCGGCUAUCGCUUGAUGACUUUGAAUAAACCAAAAACACAAUGCUUUGAAUGGCAAUAUGAUUGACCUACUAACAACUGAUAUGAAGCAUACAAUCUGCACAGUUAUGCUUUUUAAAUUUGUUUCUUUCACUUUUACAAACUACAACACAGUCAUAAUGAUAAUUAUAAAAAUGAUAAUUGUAAUUAUAUAUUAAUAGUCUAAUUUGACACCUUUAGUUAUGUCUUAUACUUUUUCAAAAUAUUUAGUACUAAUAAAUCCAUUCUCAUCUCCU